rnacentral:lncRNA from 1 species
GUGUUCUUAUUUUAUGCUAUUUUUGUGCCAGUUUUAGUAAGUUGGGUUCAGCAUCUGUUGCGAUCUCUGUUGUCAGACUUUUGAUCAUAUGUAUUUCACAAAAUUCUCUGAUUAUCUUGUUAUAAUACUGUUAUGUAGAGUUGUUGUUUUGAUUCUGAUACUGGUCACUUGUGUUCUUUCAUCUUUUUUCCUUAAUCAGUUUUGCCUGCACUCUCCCUGGAUGCUGGAGGCUGGAGGCAGUGACGCAGCAACAGCGCGAGGCGACUUUGGAGCGGCCUCAUAUAGCGACCUCGCCUUCCGCUGCGCGUCCUCCCAGAGCCCAAGAAGCCCGGAACCUGUGGCAUCCAUCUCUGAAAGGAGAAGACGGCAACCCAGCCGAGGCACUACUGGGUUGGGGUCUCCACGACCGAGCUGGUCUCAUCAAGUGGCGUCCAACAAGGGGCUCAAACCCGGGUUGAGGGGUUGCUGGAGCGACGGAGAACGUGGAACUACACUGGAGGACACCAGAGUACUCUUAAGCAAUCCCUUGGCCAAAACCAGCAACUGAUUUGGAUACCAUCAAGACACCUGAAAUCUUGUCAUGAGCCAGAUACUGAGGAAGAGAUUUUGGGAAGAACCCAAGGACCCCCCAGUUGCAGCCAUGUCAAGACUGACAAUAAGGAAGACAUCAGUCCCAGCAAGCAACAUUCAUCGGGCACAGCCACCCAUGUGGGGCCAGAUCAAGAAGUUGACACAGAUGGCGGAAGAAAAUCUGAAGAAAGCGGAUGACCAGCUACAAUGAGUAAUCUAAUGUCUGCAGAUGUGGAUCCCGAAUCCUGCGAGAAGUAGCCCACCAUGACGAAGCUGCCUUUGCUUUUAUCGCUUUGCAAAAACAGAAAAGGGGACAUGCUGGGAACAGGCCCUAAGCCUGUCAUAAACAGGCCUUAAACUGACCAUGAACAGGAUUUCUGCACGAAUGUGACGUGCUCCUGAUGGCUAUGACGCCCACUGCUAGAAGUUGUUAGUUUACUGGAGCAGGGUAGGGAACACCUGGCCCACCCGGAGCGGAAAACUGCUCAAACCACAAACAACAGCAUGAGUGGCCUGAGCCUUAACAACAUGUUUUUGCUGCAGAUAAUCGGCCAGAGACUGUUUCUCUACUCCUCUCUAAGUAUGCUUUGUUUUUCGUAAGGAAUGCUUUUAGCUAAUCUGUAACCUAUAGAAACAAUGCUUAUCACUGGCUUGCUGUCAAUAAACAUGUGGGUCAAACUCUGUUUGUGGCUCUCAGCUCUCAAGGCUGUUUUCCCCCUGAUUCCCACUUUGCACUUUAUUUCUGUGUGUUUGUCUUCAUUCCUCUAGCACCACUGGGUUGGGGUCUCCUUGACCAAGCUGGUCUCGGCACAUAUGCAUGUAUGCCCAGGUCCUGAAAUCAGCCUUGUGGAGCCUGUGGGUAGGAAAAGUCAACCCUCUGUGCAUGUAGGCCUGGAACCUGACCAAUACUGUAUUUUCCUACCACGUUUGGUUUCAAAUGUGGAAACUGCCCAUACGGACCUACUGCAUUUGUUUUUAAAAAUCCUCUGUAAGUGGACCUGCACAGUUCAGGCCCAGAUUGUUCCAGGAUCAACCCUACAGUAGAAAUCAAGUAUCUUUUUCAUUGUCUCUUGGGAUCUGCCUUUUCACCAAUAAAAUAUGAGGGCUGUUGGGAGCAGGCCCCCCCAAAUCUGGCCAUAAACUGUCCCCAAAACUGGCCAUAAACAAAAUCUCUGCAGCACUAUAACAUGUUCAUAAUGGCCAUAACGCCCAAGUUGGAAGGUUGUGGAUUUACAGGAAUGAGGGCAAGGAACACCUGGCCUGCCCAGGGUGGAAAACCACUUAAAGGCAUUCUUAAGCCACAAACAAUAGCAUGAGUGAUCUGUGCCUUAAGAACAUGCUCCUGCUGCAGUUAACUAGCCCAACAUAUUCCUUUAAUUCAGUCCAUCCCUUCGUUUCCCAUAAGGGAUACUUUUAGUUAAUUUAAUAUCUAUAGAAAGAAUGCUAAUGACUGGUUUGCUGUUAAUAAAUACGUGGGUAAAUCUCUGUUUGGGGCUCUCAACUCUGAAGGCUGUGAGACCCCUGAUUUCCCACUUGACA